GCAACCUGAUGCUGGCGCGCGAGAACAUCGUGGUGUUCCGCUCGCUGCUCGGGAUCUCGUGGAUGUGGUUCUUCGGCGCCGUGUUCCUGAGCCAGUUCCCGAGCUUCGCGAAAGAAGUGCUG
rfam:Variovorax sp. Root473 contig_4, whole genome shotgun sequence.